rfam:Halorhodospira halochloris str. A genome.
ACCUCGAUGUCGGCUCAUCACAUCCUGGGGCUGAAGCAGGUCCCAAGGGUAUGGCUGUUCGCCAUUUAAAGUGGUACGCGAGCUGGGUUUAGAACGUCGUGAGACAGUUC